AUUGAACGCUGGCGGCAGGCCUAACACAUGCAAGUCGAACGAGGGGCGGACGGGUGAGUAAUGUCGGGGAAACUGCCUGAUGGAGGGGGAUAACUACUGGAACAGGUAGCUAAUACCGCAUACCAUCAGAUGUGCCCAGAUGGGAUGAGCUUGUUGGUGGGGGAACGGCGCACCAAGGCGACGAUCCCUAGCUGGUCUGAGAGGAUGACCAGCCACACUGUAACUGCGACACGGUCCAGACUCCUACGGGAGGCAGCAGUGGGGAAUAUUGCACAAUGGGCGCGAGCCUGAUGCAGCCAUGCCGCGUGUAUGAAGAAGGCCUUCGGGUUGUAAAGUACUUUCAGCGGGGAGGCGUUACCCGCAGAAGAAGCACCGGCUAACUCCGUGCCAGCAGCCGCGGUAAUUC
rnacentral:rRNA from 1 species